UGGGGAAUAUUGCGCAAUGGGGGCAACCCUGACGCAGCCAUGCCGCGUGUGUGAAGAAGGCCUUCGGGUUGUAAAGCACUUUCAGUGGGGAGGAAAGGGUGCCGGCUAAUAUCCGGUGCAGUUGACGCUACCCACAGAAGAAGCACCGGCUAAUUCCGUGCCAGCAGCCGCGGUAAUACGGAAGGUGCAAGCGUUAAUCGGAAUUACUGGGCGUAAAGCGCGCGUAGGCGGCUUGGUAAGUCGGGUGUGAAAGCCCCGGGCUCAACCUGGGAACUGCACUCGAUACUGCCGGGCUAGAGUACGAAAGAGGGGGGUGGAAUUCCAGGUGUAGCGGUGAAAUGCGUAGAGAUCUGGAGGAACAUCGGUGGCGAAGGCGGCCCCCUGGUUCGAUACUGACGCU
rnacentral:rRNA from 1 species